UUUCCCUUAUUGCCAUUGAAAUGCAAUUAUCGUGGACAUGGUGAAGGCUAGAUGGAGCGGAGCUGUCUCGUUUUUCUCCCUCCCACUGCGCGCAUUUCACCCCCCCUCGCCCUCUACCGUGCGCACUUCACCCCCUCUCUGUCUCUCCCUUCUCUAUAAAUACUCGAUUCUUCAUCUCCUACUCUCCUAACAAACCUCAUCCUUCACAACGGAAAAAAUAACCCUAGCUUUCGAAUUCUCACUAGAAACCUCAUCCAGAUUCGUCUCUUCCUCUCCCCCAAUCUUCCACCCGUCAUUGCUAUCGGAAUCCACUUCCUUGUUUACUGGAUCUUGAGAUCGUGCUGGAAAUAGAUCCGAUCGAGGUUUGUUUAACUUGAAUUUCAUUUCUAGCUUUGAGAGAUACACGCAGUUGCAGUGCCACAUGAUGGAUUUUGAAUCUCAUCAGCUGUUUAUUUGAACCAAAGAACUUUUGGGUUUGAGGAGCAUGAGGUUCUUCAAAAUAAGAAAUGAAUCAAUCCUUGGUAGAUGAUGCAAACGUGCCCUCAACGUCGAAUUCUCAAGCUGGACUUCCUCACUUUCCAUCCCCUUCUACCUCAAGGCAUGGUGGCAGUAAUGUAUUUCGAUUGUUGGCAUGGAGGGAGAUCUCUCAUGGGGCAAAGCGCUUGUCGAGAAGGCUGUGGGGAGGUGCUUCUAAGCAGACAGUUGAUUGCUUUGGGCCAAAAUUUGAAGUAACAGAGACAAGACAUGGUCUCAUUUCAUGGGUAGAAGCAGAGUCACUCCGGCAUUUGUCUGCCCAGUAUUGUCCUCUGUUGCCUCCUCCAAGGUCGACUAUUGCUGCGGCCUUUAGUCCAGAUGGAAAAACUCUUGCAUCUACACAUGGUGACCACACCGUUAAGAUAAUUGAUUGCCAAACUGGAAGCUGCUUAAAGGUGUUGAGUGGGCAUCGACGUACACCAUGGGUGGUUAGAUUCCACCCAGUGCAUUCAGAAAUACUUGCAAGUGGUAGCUUGGAUCAUGAAGUUCGCUUGUGGGAUGCAAAUACUGCAGAGUGUAUAGGAUCACGCGAUUUUUAUCGCCCUAUCGCUUCCAUUGCCUUCCAUGCCCAAGGGGAGCUUCUUGCUGUAGCAUCGGGUCACAAGCUGUACAUAUGGCACUACAACAAGAGAGGAGAGUCACCUUCUCCAACCAUUGUAUUGAAGACACGUCGUUCACUGAGGGCAGUGCAUUUUCACCCGCAUGCUGCUCCAUUUCUUCUGACUGCUGAGGUCAAUGAUCUGGAUGCUCCAGAUUCUCCAAUGACGCUUGCAACAUCUCCUGGUUACUUGCACUAUCCUCCCCCUGCUGUAUUCUUUGCGAAUGUUAGAAGUGGUGUUCUUCCUAGUUUAGAGGCUAAAGUGCCUCUCAUGCCUUUCCCUUGCUUGUUCUUGCCUACAUUUGUAAAACAUUGUGGAAGGACAUCUUUUCAGAAUGAUAAUAGGGCUACUAGUACUAAUGGGCAACAAAGUGCGGAUCCUUCUGCUUCUCCACAGAUUCAGACUGAUUCAAAUGGAGGAAACCGGCAUGACUAUUUGGUGACGCCGAUGGAUAUGUCUCCUGUAAUACCUUCUAGCUCAAAUCCUGUACCAGAAGACACAACUGCUAGUCUUCUGCCAAGUGAAAUGGAAAAUGAAGCCCUUGACUCUGCUAUGGAUCCUAUGGAUACCACCGAAGUGCAGCCUAUGGAUCUAGGUGAGCAAAGAAGCUCUCCCAGCACAGUGGAGAGAUCAGAUGAUGCCAACAAUACCUCACCAUUCAUUCUCCAACCCAAUGGCGUUGCUCCUCGGUUACCUAGUAGGCAUUCUAGGCUAGGGGUUGAGGCUGCAUCUGGUAACAUUCCUGGCAACUCAGACCUUCAAAUGCUAUUAAGAAGUGUUGAGGUUGGACAACUUCAUCAGUUCUUUCCUUCUGCUGAUCCAGCAUGUUGGGAGCUGCCUUUUUUGCAAGGUUGGUUAAUGGGUCAGACCCAUGCUGGCUUGCAUCCAGUGCCAGCUCUUAAUGACACUCCCCAAGAAAAUUCAUCUGCAAUUCGAGGAAAUGGGUCUGAGACUUCAGCAUCUGGUCUAUUGGCUUCUCGCAGUUCAGAGGCUCCAUUGGCUUCUUCAGCAAUGGCAGCCAGUGUUAGCCAAUGUAGGGGCACAGGACGAUCUGGUUCUCGGCAUCGUUCGCGGUCCCGUUUGGUGCCGGCAGGAUCUGGAGAGGGUGCUACUUUUGUUGGUAUUGCAAAUGAUGAUAUUGAUCCUCAAUCCGGUGUUGGUAGGCUCGAAUCUGAACUUGCUACAUCACUGGCUGCUGCUGCAGCUGCAGAAUUACCUUGCACUGUGAAGCUACGAAUAUGGCCACACAAUAUACAAGAUCCUUGUGCACCACUUGAUGCAGAAAAAUGCCGCUUAACUGUACCGCAUGCUGUCCUUUGCAGUGAAAUGGGUGCACACUUUUCACCUUGUGGGAGAUUUUUAGCAGCCUGUGUUGCAUGCGUGCUUCCUCGCAUGGAAGCUGAUCCUGGGCUACCAUUGCAUGCUCACCAAGAUGUAUCAGGGGUUGCAACAUCCCCAACACGACACCCGAUUUCAGCUCACCAAGUCAUGUAUGAGCUGCGCAUCUAUUCUCUUGAGAAGGCAACCUUCGGGUCGGUGCUUGCAUCAAGGGCAAUCAGAGCAGCUCACUGUUUGACUUCCAUUCAGUUCUCACCCACAUCUGAGCACAUAUUAUUGGCAUAUGGUCGCCGCCAUAGUUCUCUUCUUAGAAGCAUUGUUGUUGAUGGGGAGACAACAAUACCUAUUUACACAAUUUUGGAGGUUUAUAGAGUUUCAGAUAUGGAGCUUGUGAGAGUUCUUCCUAGUGCGGAAGAUGAGGUUAAUGUUGCAUGCUUUCACCCUUUAGUUGGAGGAGGGCUUGUUUAUGGAACUAAGGAGGGGAAGCUUAGAAUCCUUCAGUACGAUGGUUCUCAUGGCACAAAUUGCACAGGACCAAAUUUCUUUUUGGAGGAAAAUAUGCUCGAGGUCCAGACAUAUGCUUUGGAAUGCUAAAAAAGAGUGUUCAGUAUCCAUCUACGAGGUGUAUUACUGAUCUUGAAUGGUAUUAUGCUCCCAUGGAUGGGCCUGCAUUUGUGGCAGAGAGUGCUUGCCUAGCAAUUCUGGGACGCUACUUUAAGAGGCGUUGUUCUUCGUUUUUCAUCUUCAUCACCUGUAAAACCAAAACCCUUUUUUGCUUUUUGUUCCUUGAAAUGUAUACUCAGUUACGUGUUUCAAUAUAAGUUAUUCACAUGCCA